rnacentral:rRNA from 1 species
UAAUACCGCAUGACAUCCGGCCUUUGAAGAGGCGGAGAUCAAAGCUGGGGAUCGCAAGACCUAGCGCUCGAUGAGGGGCCCGCGUCUGAUUAGCUAGUUGGUGGGGUAACGGCUCACCAAGGCAACGAUCAGUAUCCGGCCUGAGAGGGCGGACGGACACACUGGGACUGAGACACGGCCCAGACUCGUACGGGAGGCAGCAGUGGGGAAUUGUUCGCAAUGGGCGCAAGCCUGACGACGCAACGCCGCGUGGAGGAUGAAGAUCUUCGGGUCGUAAACUCCUUUCGAUCGAGACGAACGGCCUUCGGGUAAACAAUCCGGAGGU